UACAGAGGUCCCAAGCGUUGUUCGGAUUCACUGGGCGUAAAGGGUGCGUAGGUGGUCGGGUAAGUCUGAUGUGAAAUCUCCAAGCUCACUGAAUGACUGCAUCGGAUACUAUUCGGCUGGAGGGUUGGAGGGGGGACUGGAAUGCUUGGUGUAGCAGUGAAAUGCGUAGAUAUCAAGCGGAACACCAGUGGCGAAGGCGAGUCCCUGGACAACUCCUGACACUGAGGCACGAAAGCUAGGGGGAGCAAACAGG
rnacentral:rRNA from 1 species